GUGGGAGAGGCUUAGUGGUUUGGCGUGAGAUUGCAAUUGUGCAACAAACAUCUUGAGGUCGUGGGUUCGAUUCCCACCUUCCACU